GUAACUCGACCGUCCAGAGCUAUUGAUAUCUUCCUUAAGAGAUCAUAGUUUCUGACCUCGUUGUCUUUGCUCCUUCCCAGGUGAACUUCCUAGUCCUGGUUCCUGCUCCAGUCACUCUCAGUUAAGAAGAGAUUUGAGAUCUCCAAGAAUCCCCUCUCGGAUCAAGCUCCAGCUGGCAGCCGUUAAACUCCUUGUUCUCCCUGGCCUCAGACAUAAGCUCACCCUGUUCACCCUCCAACGUGUCUCACCACCGAGCUGCAAGUAUAGGCAUCUAGAGCUCACUAUCUGCUGUUUGGAAACAGCCCUGAACCAAACCUCCACCUGUACGCAUUUCAACUACCUUGGAUGUAGGAAAAGAUCACCAUCAGACAAACCGUCUGCCAAACUCCCAGGCUCCACUUCACUCCCUUUUUGGCGGAUCCUCAUCUUCAAUCCUCGGCAUGCCUCAGUCCCGGGCCUCACACCAUAACCGAUUCCUGUGCAAAAAUAAACUUGUUAAACUUUU